rfam:Triticum aestivum genome assembly, contig: Triticum_aestivum_CS42_TGACv1_scaffold_031774_1BL
AGCUGAAUUGCUGGGCAGGGUCUCCUUUGGCAGAUGUUGCUGCAGUCCGACACCGGUGUGUGUCGGGGGUUGACGGCCAGUCUACUGCCAAAGGAAAUUUGCCCCGGAAUUCAUCU